AUGGCUUAAAAUAAAAUACAUAAAUAGCACCAUGGUAUGUGCACUGUUCUAAACUUAUCACAUCCUUUUUGUAGGGAUGAAACCUGGAUAAAAUGGCAAGUGAGAGCAGGCUUGAUCCACAGAAUCAGGGAUACAGCAAUAGCACACACAGGUGGGCAGCAGAAAACAGAUGUGGUACAGGAGAAAUGCACUCCCAGCUAAAAGAAAGACCUGUCACAAAAAGGCAGCUCAAAGGACUGAUGUGGCCACAGGUCCUGUUUGAGGUAACCAGGUCUGACCCGCUCUACAGGGCAGGGUUGAGGGCUGAUUACUGCCCAUGAAUAAGCUCAAAGACUCAGAGAUUUCAGAGUCUGAAGGGAAUUUCAGUAUCCCAUUUCAAUUCCUAACUGCUACAGAAUCAGGAACCAAAAAGCAAAGAAGUAAAGUGAUGGGCUCCAGCAGCCCAAAGGACCACGAGUCUAUUUUUCUCAUUUUGUGGUUUGUGGGGCAUGUUUGAGGAAGUGUUGGGGGACAGUUCAGAACCCAUGCCUCCUCUUCCUGCUGUGAGUCACUGAGCAGCUGAGCAGAGAAGCUCUGAUGAAAAACAAGGAGUUCUAGAAGCACUUGCUCCAGUAUAACCUAUUUUGUAAACAAUGCUAGGCACCUGGCGUGUCUUAGGAAUGAAUUCACACACAAGAAAAAGGUAUUUUCCUUAGAAGCUCCUCUAGCCUCCAAAGUUUGGUUUUAAUUGCCUUUGGAAAAUUGUGGAACCUUCAGUCUGUUCCAGGCCCUGUGCUAGAUUCAAAGGUGAACAAGAUGUAAUAAUGAAUAAGCCAUGUAUUUCCAGGAGUUCUAUGUCUCAUAGGGUAACAGAAGUGAAUACAAAUGAUGGUGAUGUAAUGUGAUAAACAUAACAAAAUCUGUAACACAGAAGAGGAAGUGAAUAAUUGCUGGGAAGAGGAGCUCGGGGGUAGACAGAGAAGGCUUCACAAAGGUGACAUCGGAGAAGAGACUUGUGGCUGCCUGAUGGGAGGGGGAGGGAGGGGGAGGGAUCGGGAGCUUGGGCUUAUCAGACACAACUUAGAAUAGAUUUACAAGGAGAUCCUGCUGAAUAGCAUUGAGAACUUUAUCUAGAUACUCAUGUUGCAACAGAACAAAGGGUGGGGGGAAAAUGAAAUUGUAAUGUAUACAUGUAAGGAUAACCUGCCCCCCUUGCUGUACAGUGGGGAAACAAAAAUCCAGAAAUAAACUUAUAUCAUGUCAAAAAAAAAAAA
rnacentral:lncRNA from 1 species